AUAUUAGAUAGAGGCGCAGUGUUCAUGAGUAAAACUUCAACAAACGUUAAGGUGACGGAAGCGGAAAGGGAACAUUGCCGAAGCUGAGUUUCUCUGCCUUGGGGGUGCUUGGCUGGCGCAUUAUAAAAUAUAUAAUGUGCUGUCACUUUAGUGGAGCGCUAUCGGGAAC
rnacentral:ncRNA from 2 species